GAAAACUGGCUAGCCGUAUGCAGAAAACUGAAACUGGACCCUUCCUCACACCUUAUACAAAAUUUAACUCAAGAUGGGUUAAAGAUUUAAACGUAAGACCUAAAACCAUAUUUAAAAUUCCAUUGCAAGCUCAAAAAUGCUCAAAUUGCAAAGCGUGUCCGUAGGAGAAGUAUCUACUUGGUGUAUAUUUGCCCUUCUGUCUCACGAAUCUUCCACGAACACUUCAU
rnacentral:lncRNA from 1 species